rnacentral:rRNA from 1 species
CCCUUAGAUGUUCUGGGCUGCACACGCGCUACACUGAAGGGAUCAGCGUGUUCUUUUCCUGGUCCGAAAGGAUCGGGUAACCCGCUGAACCCCCUUCGUGGUAGGGAUCGGAGCUUGCAAUUAUUCUCCGUGAACCAGGAAUUCCCAGUAAGCGCAAGUCAUAAGCUUGCGUUGAUUACGUCCCUGCCCUUUGUACACACCGCCCGUCGCUACUACCGAUUGGACGUUUUAGUGAGGAUUUUGGGCUGAGCCAAUGGUGGUUCACACCACUGUUGUGCAUGGAAAGAUCUCCAAACUUGAGCGUUUAGAGGAAGUAAAAGUCGUAACA